GGCGAACGCCGGCGGCAGGCUUAACACAUGCAAGUCGAGCGGUCCUUUCGGGGUCAGCGGCGGACGGGUGAGUAACGCGUGGGAACGUGCCCUCUGGUUCGGAAUAACUCAGGGAAACUUGAGCUAAUACCGGAUACGCCCUUUUGGGGAAAGGCUUGCUGCCGGAGGAUCGGCCCGCGUCUGAUUAGCUAGUUGGUGAGGUAACGGCUCACCAAGGCGACGAUCAGUAGCUGGUCUGAGAGGAUGAUCAGACACACUGGGACUGAGACACGGCCCAGACUCCUACGGGAGGCAGCAGUGGGGAAUAUUGGACAAUGGGAGCAAGCCUGAUCCAGCCAUGCCGCGUGAGUGAUGAAGGCCUUAGGGUUGGAAAGCUCUUUUAUCCGGGACGAUAAUGACGGUACCGGAGGAAUAAGCCCCGGCUAACUUCGUG
rnacentral:rRNA from 1 species